rnacentral:lncRNA from 1 species
CAUAAUACUUGGGUAGAGAAUAGGAGCGAGUGUUAGCGCAUAACAAAAUUAAAAUAGAUUCUGGAUUAGCUUAAUAAAGAUCCUAUCAUGUAAUUCAUCAUUCGUGUACCACCACACAAGCUGCUCUGCAGAACGGAUGCCGCAAGAGAUCAGACAUGAAAGGGGGGGUCUCACGCCUGAGGAAAAUCAGCAAUCGGUGCGUGGGCCCUGUCUUAAUCAAACGACGCGUGUACGUGGGCUGGCAAAAA